rnacentral:rRNA from 1 species
AUUGAACGCUGGCGGCAUGCCUUACACAUGCAAGUCGAACGGCAGCACGGGGCAACCUGGUGGCGAGUGGCGAACGGGUGAGUAAUGCAUCGGAACGUACCUUUCAGUGGGGGAUAACGUAGCGAAAGUUACGCUAAUACCGCAUAUCCUGUGAGCAGGAAAGCAGGGGAUCGCAAGACCUUGCGCUGAUUGAGCGGCCGAUGUCAGAUUAGCUAGUUGGUGAGGUAAAGGCUCACCAAGGCGACGAUCUGUAGCGGGUCUGAGAGGAUGAUCCGCCACACUGGAACUGAGACACGGUCCAGACUCCUACGGGAGGCAGCAGUGGGGAAUUUUGGACAAUGGGGGCAACCCUGAUCCAGCCAUGCCGCGUGAGUGAAGAAGGCCUUCGGGUUGUAAAGCUCUUUCGGCCGGGAAGAAAUCGCACGGGCUAAUACCCUGUGUGGAUGACGGUACCGGAAUAAGAAGCGCCGGCUAACUACGUGCCAGCCGCCGCCGUAAAAC